rnacentral:rRNA from 1 species
AUUGAACGCUGGCGGCAGGCCUAACACAUGCAAGUCGAACGGUAACAGGAAACAGCUUGCUGUUUCGCUGACGAGUGGCGGACGGGUGAGUAAUGUCUGGGAAACUGCCUGAUGGAGGGGGAUAACUACUGGAAACGGUAGCUAAUACCGCAUAACGUCGCAAGACCAAAGAGGGGGACCUUCGGGCCUCUUGCCAUCGGAUGUGCCCAGAUGGGAUUAGCUAGUAGGUGGGGUAACGGCUCACCUAGGCGACGAUCCCUAGCUGGUCUGAGAGGAUGGACAGCCACACUGGAACUGGGAAACGGUCCAGACUCCUACGGGAGGCAGCAGUGGGGAAUAUUGCACAAUGGGCGCAAGCCUGAUGCAGCCAUGCCGCGUGUAUGAAGAAGGCCUUCGGGUUGUAAAGUACUUUCAGCGGGGAGGAAGGGAGUAAAGUUAAUACCUUUGCUCAUUGACGUUACCCGCAGAAGAAGCACCGGCUAACUCCGUGCCAGCCGCCGCCGUAACAC